UCACGCCAUAAGAUUAGCCCAAGUGGGAUUAGCUAGUUGGUGAGGUAAUGGCUCACCAAGGCGACGAUCCCUAGCUGGUUUGAGAGGAUGAUCAGCCACACUGGGACUGAGACACGGCCCAGACUCCUACGGGAGGCAGCAGUGGGGAAUAUUGCACAAUGGGCGCAAGCCUGANGCAGCCAUGCCGCGUGUGUGAAGAAGGCCUUCGGGUUGUAAAGCACUUUCAGUAAGGAGGAAAGGUUAAUCNUUAAUANCNGUUAGCUGUGACGUUACUUACAGAAGAAGCACCGGCUAACUCCGUGCCAGCAGCCGCGGUAAUACGGAGGGUGCGAGCGUUAAUCGGAAUUACUGGGCGUAAAGCGUACGCAGGCGGUUUGUUAAGCGAGAUGUGAAAGCCCCGGGCUCAACCUGGGAACUGCAUUUGAACUGGCAAACUAGAGUGUGAUAGAGGGUGGUAGAAUUUCA
rnacentral:rRNA from 1 species